GAUGAACGCUGGCGGCGUGCUUAACACAUGCAAGUCGAACGAAGCACUUAAGAUUGAUUCUUCGGAUGACGUCUUUUGUGACUUAGUGGCGGACGGGUGAGUAACGCGUGGGUAACCUGCCUCACACAGGGGGAUAACAGUUAGAAAUGACUGCUAAUACCGCAUAACCCGAUAGGAUCGCAUGAUCCAGACGGAAAAGAUUUAUCGGUGUGAGAUGGACCCGCGUCUGAUUAGCUAGUUGGUGAGGUAACGGCCCACCAAGGCGACGAUCAGUAGCCGGCCUGAGAGGGUGAACGGCCACAGUGGGACUGAGACACGGCCCAAACUCCUACGGGAGGCAGCAGUGGGGAAUAUUGCACAAUGGGGGAAACCCUGAUGCAGCGACGCCGCGUGAGUGAAGAAGUAUUUCGGUAUGUAAAGCUCUAUCAGCAGGGAAGAAAAUGACGGUACCUGACUAAGAAGCCCCGGCUAACUACGUG
rnacentral:rRNA from 1 species